CCUCAGUCUAGAUGUCUGGCAACCUUUCUCACCACAGCCUUGACUUAAGAGAUGCAUGACUGGUAUUCUUCCUGAUACAGACUCCCCCUCCUUCCAACCAUGACUGGGACUGCAGCAUGUAUCCUAGGUUGAGCAUGGCAGUGUGGAGGGGCCCUGAGAAGCGAAGAUGCUUACCUGAAGUCUUACAGCCAGGAAGUAGCUAUGCUUCAAGUCAAAGCUAGAAAGAA